rnacentral:rRNA from 1 species
UUGACCUCGGAUCAGGGAGGAAUACCCGCUGAACUUAAGCAUAUCAAUAAGCGGAGGA